GGAUGUGAGGGCCAUCUGCCUGUGACAUCCAUCACCACACUGAUCUCCAGAGCUGAAUCAGUUGAUUUGGCUGGUUAUGCAAAUGUUUCCUUCCUCACUCAAUGCACC
ensembl:misc_RNA 7SK 7SK RNA